UUCCCAGCGGUCUAGUGGUUAGGACUCGGCACUUUCACUGCCUGGGGCCCAGGUUCAAUCCUUGGUCAGGAAA
rnacentral:tRNA from 1 species